ACACCAGUGUUCUGUACGAUUGCUUAUUCGUUCUUAUUUCUUUCUCAAUUUCGACGUCGCAGCAUCGACAUCAUGGGACUUCUUGCGUGGGAAUUUUCAUUGGAUUUUCACAUUCCAAUUUUAAAUUCGGACAUUUUCCUUGAAGAUACUCCUCGUUAAAUUCGUAUAUUCACAAGUGUUGAACGAAGGAAACUGAGAUGGUUCAAAGGGAAACUGCACGACUGACGCAUCAUCCGAAAACAAUGAUUCGUUAAUGUACGAUACUGGACGUUGUCUGGACUCAUUCACAUGAAAUCAACCCCAACGCAGAUGAUACAACACAGGCAUUCACAAUUACGAUCAAUCAGCCCGUCCGCAAAAUGCACUGGUAAUAAGUGAAUCUGCAGAGCCCAAAUAGUUUGUGCCUGAAAUUGGAAACAAAAUCAAAAAUGCAUGCUCAUUGAAAUUGGGAAAUGCUUGUGUAUCUCGGCCAUAUCAAUAGUUUCAUGGCUUCAAAUACUGUUCCGUAGAACUGAAUGUUAAACUGAUGGCUUCAAACAUUAUUAUUCGUUUUUUCUCCUUUUUUAUGUUACAAUUUUUUUGCCCAAAUUGAAUAAAGCAAAACGUUAAGCAAAGAA